rnacentral:rRNA from 1 species
GACCUCCGAUCAAGCAAGAGGACCCGCUGAAUUUAAGCAUAUAACUAAGCGGAGGAAAAGAAACUAACCAGGAUUCCCCCAGUAACGGCGAGUGAAGCGGGAAGAGCUCACGUUGUAAAUCUGCCUUCGGGCCGAAUUGUAGUCUGGAGAGGCGAGGCCAGCCGCAGCCGGGGGCGAAGUCUCUUGGAAAAGAGCAUCAAGGAGGGUGACAAUCCCGUUCUUGCCCCCAAGCUGUGUGCGUACGGUCCGUUUUCUAAGAGUCGAGUUGCUUGGGAUUGCAGCUCAAAGCGGGUGGUAAAUUCCAUCUAAAGCUAAACACGGGUGGGAGACCGAUAGCGAACAAGUACCGUGAGGGAAAGAUGCAAAGAACUUUGAAAAGAGAGUUAAAGAGUGCCUGAAAUUGCUGAAAGGGAAGCGAAGGAAACCAGUGUCUGGCGUCGAAGCUUUCCCUCUGCCCUCCGGGGCUCUGGGUCGCGUCUUCGCCGUGGCCAGGGUCGGGUAUAGUUGCGGGAGCCUGCGCCGCGGAAGGUAGCCUCUCUUCGGAGGGUGAAUACCGCGGCGUGUCGUCGCGACUGUGGCCGGCUCUGACGAAAUGGUUUUCUUUACCCCGUCUUGAAACACGGACCAAGGAGUCUAACAUGCCCGCGAGUACAGGGGUGUUCAAACCCCCGUGCGCAGUGAAAGUGAAUGCAGGUGGGAAGCCGCAAGGUGGCACCAUCGACCGACCAUGUCCCUCCGGGGGCGAGGUUUGAGUGUGAGCGUGCAUGUUGGGACCCGAAAGAUGGUGAACUAUGCCUGAAUAGGGCGAAGCCAGGGGAAACUCUGGUGGAGGCUCGUAGCGAUUCUGACGUGCAAAUCGAUCGUGAGAUUUGGGUAUAGGGGCGAAAGACUAAUCGAACCAUCUAGUAGCUGGUUCCCUCCGAAAUUUCCCUCAGGAUAGCUGCAACCUGCGUUCAGUUUUAUCAGGUAAAGCGAAUGAUUAGAGGCUGCGGGGAAGCAACUUCCUCGCCCUAUUCUCAAACUUUAAAUGGGUAAGAGACCGGGGUCGCUUAAUUGGACCCUGUGUUGGAAUGAAGGUUGCUAGUGGGCCAGUCCGGGUAAGCUGGACUGGCGAUGCGGGAUGAACCGAACGCCUAGUUAAAGCGCCAAACUGCCCGCUCACCUAGAUCCCACAAAAGGUGUUGGUUCAUUUAGACAGCAGGACGGUGG